GUUCUGGUAACCGUAACUCUGGGUCUUGCCAGGUUACAGAGCUCCUGUUAUGGAGCUCCUCCAGGCUGCAACCAGUGCUAUUGUUAUUGUGAAGCACCUCUGCGCUGUUCGGCCUUUGAAGUGUGCUCUUUGACGACGAGUGCUCCGUGUGAUCUCAGCCAGGCAGGCGUUUUCUUUAGUCCUCAGCGCUUUGCCUUUUCACCUCGUCAAACCCUUUCAAGCUAAACAAACCUUGUUCCAGCCUCGCUCACCGAAUCCCAGCCUGGGGCGGCACAAAGCGGCGUAGCAUCGCAGUUGGAACCGGCAUUCGAGUCGGAGUGGCAUAGCACUGCCUGGGCAAUGGGCAAAAGUGGCAGGAAGGGGGCAAGGGAAGGGCAGGGGAUGGAGCAGCCUGGUUGCGGGGAGGUGGCACUGAACGCGGGGGCUGCGGGACAUGCCGCUGCCUGGUGUCACCUUGUCCUCGAGCUCCGCGGGGACGCGGCUCCGUGCGGCACCAGAUUUGCGUGGCUAAGUCGAACGGCCGUGCAGCUGUGCUCUUAUCUGGUCAGAGGAAGAGGAUGAACAACAAAAGGGCCUAAGAAGCCCGGUUGAUGCAUGGGAAAGCCAUUGGUUGAGCAUUGUGGCUGCCCUUCUGCUGAGCAAAUAGUUCAAACUGUUCAUUCCCAUCUUCUAUUCUCUCUCCGGUACAUUGUUUGUGUCCUUGCAUUUCAUUCUGCAAGGAAGAUUGCUCUCUGGGCCUAUAAGCAAACAGUCCAGAAAAGAGCCAACUAUCCUCUCCUUUUCCCUGGAGAACUAGCAUUUUUAUUUCAGCUCCAAGCUGUCAAAGAGCUGGAGAGUUUAUGUCAGUAUCCUGAAUUAAUUGCUUUAAGCUGGAGCAGCCUAGAUGAGCCACCAAAUGUCCAGAAGAUGUUUAUUAAUAACGUUUCCCCCCGGUUUUGUACUGAGCUGCGCUCUCCCGUCCAGUGCCCUCCAUUCACUGCCUUGGGGUGGCAAAGCCAAAGCUGCUUAUGGGGAAUUAGUGCCCGCUGCCAGGCUUUGUCACCAUCCCCGUGCCCAGCGCCGGGAGCUUUGGUUGGGGCGGUUCGGUGCUGGGAGCGGGAGGAGGAAGGAGGAUUGCUGCUGGGGGGGGCAGGGGGGGGCUUGUUUAAACACAAAUAUCUUAGGUAAUUAGCCAAAGUGGCGAGGAAAUUACCGAUGGAAAAAGAAAAACCACACGGAAGGUAAACGGCUCCGUGUUUAAACAUGAUAUAUUUUAAAGUGUUCCCCAGCGUGAAAGUCGCUGUUUAAGGGAAUGAAGUAAUAAACCAAUUUAUAUACCAAUAGAAAGUGGAGAUCCUGAGUGCCUUUGUGUAAAUUUUCCACUUGACUUUUCAUUAUCUACCUGAACAAAAUCAAUCUAUAUGUAUGGGAUCAACGCGCAAUAUGAGAGAUAAAAGACGAAAUAAAUGCGCUUUGCAUAUCCCGCGGAUAAAAGCCGCGGGGCUCCAGCCUCCCUGCCAGGCAGAUGCGUUUUAUAAAAUAAAUCAUUUUGUGGAGGAAAAAGAGAGCAGAGAGGAGCGUUACUUCUUAAGUGUUUACUCCCUCGCUUGAAAUAUCGAUCCUGUCAAACGAACGGUGGUUAAUAAGUAACUCGGGGGAAAUGUGUCGCUCCGCGCAGGAGGAGCGCUGCUGCAGCAGGGGAUGCGCUGGGGCCGGUACCUGGAGCAGCACAAAAAGCAGAUCUAGAGCCAGAAAGAAGCGAGCACGCUGCCUAGCCCUCCGCCCCCUGCCUGGAGCUGGGCUUUGGGGUAGAGCAUCCCCCCCGGCCUCGGGGAUCCCUCUCUUUUCUCCCUUCAGGGUGAGGUGAAGAGGCAGGAACCUCUCGUGUGUUUUCUCGCUCACUAGCAGGAUAUAGGAAAGGUUAAGAGGCACUUUAGCAGCCACAGCCCCUCCUGGGCACGGUGGAUUCCUAUUCCAGCUGUAACUCCAGCCCUGCUGUAUCCUGCCCCCAGCAUCCUGCUGCACCAGGGAGCCAGAUCCAGCCCCAUGCAGGGCUGGACCUGCUUCCUAUGGCAUCACUGCGGCUGUACCCACACCAUCCAGCCAUGUGGGAUCUGGGAGUCGGGGAGGGUCUGUGGGGUAUGGGUAUGGCACUGAGCUUUGCCAAUUACCUCUGCGCUGGCAGAGCCGUGGUUGGCACCAAUACUUCCAUUUUCCAAGAGGAACAGGAAGAUCACAGAGCUCCAUCCAUUGCAAUUUAAAAAAAAUAAACAAUCUUGAAAAUAA